rnacentral:rRNA from 1 species
ACGCUCGACACCUACAGGAGGCAGCAGUGGGGAAUAUUGCACAAUGGGGGAAACCCUGAUGCAGCGACGCCGCGUGGAGGAAGAAGGUCUUCGGAUUGUAAACUCCUGUCCCAGGGGACGAUAAUGACGGUACCCUGGGAGGAAGCACCGGCUAACUACGUGCCAGCAGCCGCGGUAAUCUGAGCGGGCUGGCAAGGC